AUGUGGAGUCAUCACAAUCCUUGUGACAAGACAUUCCAGAGUUUUUUCACUAGGUCAUUGUUCUUUCUUCCUUGGGUGAACUUUAUGGGUACAGAAGUUCUCUCUACCUAUGAUGGUCUGUGUCUGUCCUCAGAAGCUCUUCCAAGUCCUGGAAGUGGCUGGGGCCUGUCUCUCUAGUAGUUCACUCUGCCAAGGAGCCGCCAGGUUCAGCUGAAAUAAGGGCUCUGUCUCCAGGUCUUGCUCAAUUUGUUGCAUUUGUGUUUCAGGUGAUGCUGAGGAAUCCCGGGCUGUCAAGAAGGCUCACUUGGUGCUUUGCAGCAUCGGGUCCCACACUGGUCCCAGAAGGGACAUGACUCUGAGAAAGAGCUGAGGGGCACAAGGGAGAAGCCCUCAGGGAGGACCACAGGGAGCGCGAGGCCCUGGCAGGGGAUGCCCUCCAGGGCUGGUUUGCUGGAACUCUGGUCCCAGUCCCUGAGACACUUAUUAAGCAGAGUACUCUUAUUGAGUGACAGUUGGUUUGGAAUGUCCUGUGUUCUGAUUCAGUUGGAGAGCCAGGUGGAUGCUGGUCUGCAGAAUGCUGUCCUCAACACCAGGAAGGUUCAUCACAAGGUAGCUGGCACUGGGAACUUGCUGAAGUGCGGCCUCACAGCUGAAUCUCAUCUUGUCCUCCAGAGGAGCUUCUUUGAUGCUUCUUCUGCCCAGGACGGUGGCCCAGCAGCAACUCGGUCCAGGCUGGUGAAGCAAACUCCUCCGUCCACUCUGGUCCUGUGUCCACAUGGAGUCAACUCCCUGAGGAAUUCAUGAGCAGCCCCACCAAUGUGCUUGCUGACAGGUACUCUGUGUCCUCCUGGCCUCCUGGGGCUCUGCUGCAGGAAGAGGCCCCAAUAAUGUCAAGGAGGGAUCAGAAUGCCCUACCCUGGUCUUGAACACCUGGAGAGCUGAACAGGGCUCCUUCCUUCUGCAGCUAGACCCAGGGCAGCACCUGCCACCCAUCCCUGGUGGGGCUCUGAGAGAGGAGGAGCGUGAGGAGGCCUUGAGAGGCUCACUCUAGGCUUCCCCACAUGAGCUGUGACUCUUCACUUUAUGUCACCCCAAAUAAAAAAUGUCACCACA